rnacentral:lncRNA from 1 species
GCUUUUUGACUAAGAUCCAAUGUAGCAUGUUUUUUUCAGUUGAAUAACUGAUUUUUUUUGGUCUGAGGACGAUAUAUUUAAGUGGGGUUUUGGAAUAGAAAGAUGAAAUAGGAGCUGGUUUUUUCCACUCUGCGCAUCGACUUGGUAUUGCCGUGUUUCCAAAGAGGGUCAAAACACGUUUUACAAAGAACAGAUUUACUUACAUUCGCGUUGGUUUCAUUAUGUGGUGUUGUGUAUGUGUGUGUGUGUUUUUGUGUUGUAUAAGGAAAGUAUUGGUGGGUGGUAUUACUUCUUUGCUUCUAACCGGAUUGAGAAUAAGGGAAUGCGUAUUGGGAAAGUACGCCGCCGAGUCCUGAAACUGGGGACAAGGGUGCUUGUUGGCAUCCUGAUAUGCCAAGGAGGUGCAUUGCUAAUUUCUGGACUCCAGACAGUUAAAACGUGAAGAAAGCAGGGUGGUCAUCCAUAAGCCAACGCCAGAAGCGACGUUGUUUAGUCUUCCCCAAUGUUGCAGUUACUUUUGCUCUCAUUUUUCAUAUUAUUGCUUCCCAACUGCUCACAUUUUUUCUUUUUUGUUUUUUUUGAUACCGAGUCUCACUCUGUUGCCUAGGCUGGAGUGAAGUGGCCUCAUGUCGGCUCACUGCAACCUCUGCCUCUCGGAUUCAAGCGAUCCUCCCGCCCCAGCCUCCCGAGUAGCUGGGACUACAGGCGUUCGCUACCAUGGCUGGCUAAUUUUUGUAUUUUUAGGAGAGAGGGAGUUUCACCAUGUCGGCCAGGUUUGUCUCCUGAACUCAAGUGAUCCGCCCGCCUUGGCCUCCCAAAAUGCUAGGGUUACAGGCCUGAGCCACCGCGCCCGACCUUUAUUUGACUUCUUAGUCAGGGAGCUGAAGCCUGGUCCCUGCGAGUAAGAAAGCCUGGUCCCUGCGAAUAAGAAAGGUUUGGGUAGGAGGCCUCAUCGGAGGCAUCUUGCAGUUAGCCAAGAGUGGGGAGAACUUUUUUCUUGUGGUUUCCGUAGGAGCUUAACUGCAGUAGAAUAAAACAUCAGUUACAUUUCUAAGGUCUUGACUCCAAACCUUGGCUCCUAGACAGCAUUCCAGCACCCACCCAGGGCUUGAGGGAGCUCACUGCCCUAAAGGGAGGGACAUAAUCCUGGCUGGCUUGGCCACCUGAUCCUAGAGCUCUACUGCUUUGAGGGGGCAUAGGUGGUAGCAGGUAGUGGAUCUAGCAGGCCUUUGAGUGAGACCUGGUGCUGUGCUGGGUUUGGGUCUGAACCAGCACAGGGUUGCUUAGGCAUCUCAGCACAGAGAGAGACUCCAUUUAUUUAGGAGAAAGUAAGGGAAAAGAACAAGAGUCUCUGCCUGGUAAUCCAGAGGAUUCUUUCAGAUCUCAUCCAAGACCACUGUUGCGGGAAGCUGGGGACCCUGAAUGGAGGGACCGGCUGAAGCCAUGGCAGAAGAAUAUAAAUUGUGAAGAUUUCAUGGACAUUUAUUAGUUCCCCAAAUUAAUACUUUUAUAAUUUCUUACGCCUGUCUUUACUGCAAUCUCUGAACAUAAAUUGUGAAGAUUUCAUGGACGCUUAUCACUUCCCCAGUCAAUACCCUUGUGAUUUCCUAUGCCUGUCUUUACUUUAAUCUCUUAAUCCCGUCAUCUUCGUAAGCUGAGGAGGAUGUAUGUCACCUCAGGACCCUGUGAUGAUUGUGUAAAUUGCACAAAUUGUAGAGCAUGUGUAUUUGAACAACAUGAAUUCUGGGCGCCUUGAAAAAAGAACAGGAUAACAGCAAUGUUCAGGGAACAAGAGAGAUAACCUUAAACUCUGACCACCGGUGAGCUGGGCAGAACAGAGCCAUAUUUCUCUUCUUUCAAAAGCAAAUGGGAAAAUAUUGCUGAAUUCUUUUUCUCAGCAAGGAACAUCCCUGAGAAAGAGAAUGCGUCCCUGAGGGUAGGCCUCUAAAAUGGCUGCUUCGGGGGGCGGCCAUCUUUUAUGGUCGAAGCUGUAGGGAUGAAAUAAGCCCCAGUCUCCCAUAGCGCUCCCAGGCUUAUUAGGACGAGGAAAUUCCCGCCGAAUAAAUUUUGGUCAGACCAGUUGUCUGCUCUCAAACCCUGUCUCCUGAUAAGAUGUUAUCAAUGACAAUGUGUGCCUGAAACUUCCUUAGCAAUUUUAAUUUUGCCCCAGUCCUGUGGUCCUGUGAUCUUGCCCUGCCUCCAUUUGCCUUGUGAUAUUCUAUUACCUUGUGAAGCACAUGAUCUCUGUGACCCACACCCUGUUCGUACACUCCCUCCCCUUUUGAAAAUCACUAAUAAAAACUUGCUGGUUUUAUGGCUCAGGGGGCAUCACGGAACCUGCCAACAUGUGAUGUCUCCCCCAGACACCCAGCUUUAAAAUUUAUCUCUUUUGUACUCUGUCCCUUUAUUUCUCAGACUGGCCGACACUUCAGGAAAAUAGAAAAGAACUACGUAAAAUAUCAGGGGUGAAUUUUGCCUGAUAGCUGGCUGAAUUUCCCCCAAUAACCACCAGGGUAGUACCUCUACAAGUCUGUAAGAAUCACAGCAUGAUUGGACUUGGGGCACACAUAUCCUGGAAUACCCAGAAAGCCUUCCCAAGAAAGACACACAGAAACAAGCCCAGACUGUGAAAAAUACAGUAAAUACCUAAUUCUUCCAUACGCAGACAAAACAAACAUCCACAAACAUCAAGAUCAUCCAAGAAAACAUGGUCUCACCAAACCACAUUUGUUCAAUUCCAGAGGAACUGAGACGUGACAUUUCAGACAGAGAAUUCAAAAUAGCCAUUUUGAGGAAAUUUAAAGAAACUAGAGAAAACGGCCAGGCGCGGUGGCUCACACCUGUAAUCCCAGCACUUUGGGAGGCCGAGACAGGCAGAUCACCUGAGGUUGGGAGUUCGAGACCAGCCUGACCAACAUGGAGAAACCCCGUCUCUACAAAAACUACAAAAUUAGCCAAGCAUGGUGGCCUGUGCCUGUAAUCCCAGCUACUCCAGGAGCCUGAGGCAGGAGAAUUGUUUGAAUCCGGGAGGCACCGGCUAUGGGGAGCCAAGAUCCCCACUGCACUCCAGCCUGGGCAACAAGAGAGAAACGAAAGAAAGAAAGAGAGAAAGAGAGAGAGAGAGGGAAAGGAAAAGAGAAAAGAAAAGACAAAGAAGUUGGAAAUUCACAGUUCUAUCAGGUGCAUUUACCAGAGAUUGAAAUUAUUCUUGCUGGACGCAGUGGCUCACACCUGUAAUCCUGGCACUUUGGGAGGCAGAGGCAGGAGGAUUGCUUGGGUCCAGUGGUUCAAGACCAACCUAGGCCACAUGGUGAAAUUUUGCCUUUACAAAAAUAAAAAAAUUAGCUGGGCAUGGUGGCACACACCUGUAGUCCCGGCUACUCAGUAGGCUGAGAUCUGAGAAUCACUUAAACCCGGAAGACAGAGGGUGCAGUAAGCCGAGAUCGUGCCAUUGCACUCCAGACUGGGUGACAGAGUGAGACUUUGUCUUAAAAAAAAAAAAAAGAAAAGAAAAAGAAGAAGAAAAAAAAGGACAGGAAGAAGUCAAAUUAUCCUCGUUUGAAGGUGAUAUAUUUGGAAAAACCUAAAGACUCCACCAAAAUUAGGUGAUUAGGACUUUGCAAUUUACUUGUGUCAACUUAUGACA